rnacentral:rRNA from 1 species
GACGAACGCUGGCGGCGUGCUUAACACAUGCAAGUCGAACGGUGAAGCGCCUUCCUUUUUGGUGGGUGUGGAUGAGUGGCGAACGGGUGAGUAACACGUGAGUAACCUGCCCCCUUCUUCUGGAUAACCGCAUGAAAGUGUGGCUAAUACGAGAUAUUCUGGGUCUGUCGCAUGAUGGGUCUGGGAAAGAUAUUGUUUCGGUGGGGGAUGGGCUCGCGGCCUAUCAGCUUGUUGGUGGGGUGAUGGCCUACCAAGGCGGUGACGGGUAGCCGGCCUGAGAGGGUGGACGGUCACACUGGGACUGAGACACGGCCCAGACUCCUACGGGAGGCAGCAGUGGGGAAUAUUGCACAAUGGGCGCAAGCCUGAUGCAGCGACGCCGCGUGAGGGAUGGAGGCCUUCGGGUUGUGAACCUCUUUCGCCAGUGAAGCAGGCCUGCCUCGUUUGUGGGUGGGUUGACGGUAGCUGGAUAAGAAGCGCCGGCUAACUACGUG